rnacentral:rRNA from 1 species
CGUAGGUGGCAAGCGUUGUCCGGAAUUAUUGGGCGUAAAGCGCGCGCAGGCGGUCCUUUAAGUCUGAUGUGAAAGCCCACGGCUCAACCGUGGAGGGUCAUUGGAAACUGGGGGACUUGAGUACAGAAGAGAAGAGUGGAAUUCCACGUGUAGCGGUGAAAUGCGUAGAGAUGUGGAGGAACACCAGUGGCGAAGGCGACUCUUUGGUCUGUAACUGACGCUGAGGCGCGAAAGCGUGGGGAGCAAACAGGAUUAGAUACCCUGGUAGUCCACGCUGUAAACGAUGAGUGCUAAGUGUUAGAGGGUUUCCGCCUUUAGUGCUGCAGCUAACGCAUUAGGCACUCCGCCUGGGGAGUACGGCCGCAAGGCUG